ACAACAGCAGCUGUUGGAAUUUUGACAAAAACAAAGAAUGAGGCCCUGCCUGUGCCCAUGCAUGCUGAGUACUGAUUACUGAGUGGUACUGUGGUUUUGGGGCAUUGUAUUAAACCCCAUUUAAACAAUGAUAUGUAUUUAAGUCUAGAAUAAACACUAGUACAAGCAUCUGGCUGGGCUCUCAAACACAAUGGAAUUGUGUGUUUAUAAAUAAUAAAUGGUUUUUGGGACUUUUUUUGUCUUUCUGUUUCUUUCUUUCAUCUGUAGUCCUAAAUGAGAACCAACAUCCACCUGGAUUUCGGAGAUGGCACGGCAGUCUCCUGCUCCAACCUGAGCUGGAUCGAAGAGGGUAUCAGGCAUGUUUACAAGACGGCUGGGAUAUUAUGUCUCUGCCUUGGCGGAGAACACCCUGGGAUUCCAUACUACCACCUUGGAUCUGCAUGUUACAUCUGGUGAUCAGUUUAGACAGGAGAAUCUCAUGCACCUUCACCAGUGAGGGAAUGAACACGGUCCAUGUGUCUUCAGCCAACAAAACAGCAAGACGAUAGCAGUCCAAGGUAAGGAUCAGUACUGCCUCUCUCUCUCCCGCUCUCUCUCUCUCUCUUACUCUCUCGGAUCGCCCUAAUCAAAAUAUUCUACUUGACGUACUGCUAAUUACCACAUCUAGCAGCCAUCUGAGUUGGUAAGCUACGUUUGAGGAUACUUUACAUUUGCAUGUGUCAGGAUAUGUGGGAAAGGGGAAAUUUCCCGAAUUAUCUAAGAACUCACUUGUGCGAUCAAUCAUCUCCCCUUCAGCACACGAACACGCACACACCGACAUCUCUGUCAGCUUUCCCACCCAUCAGAAGGCAGUUAGAGGAGGGACUCAACCAGAACAAAUGACAGUCGGGAAUGAGAAGGAUACCUUGAGAAUAAUGCACCUAGAUUAGGAGCUGAAUUACACGUCUGUUUCUCCCCUGGGUCUCUCUCUCUCUCUGACAGAGUUCUUCAAAUCUCUGCUUUUAUCUUUCUCUCUUAAUCUGGACGAGUACAACCCUGAUGUUCCCGAGUGGAGACAGGAUGUGGGGAGAGUCAUUAAGAAGACUCUGCUCCAAGUUAGUGUGAAUUCCUUUUCUCGUUUUCUCCCUCGUCUCUUUCUAUCCGCUCAGAUGCUUCUGCAUUCGCCCUCGAGCUGUCCUGUGAUUCAUUAUCACACAGGUGUGAGAGGCUCGGCUUCUUCUUCCCCUCGCGAGGCAGCUUGAUGAGCACUAAUAACUUAUUUUCAGAAGUCGGAGCAAUCAAAUGCAUUCUUCGGAAUUAGUCUGGAAUGUACUUAGGUAAAUAUACUUUAAAGUACUACUUAAGUCGUUUUUUUGUGUAUCUGUACUUUACUAUUAAUAUUUGACAACUAACUUUUACUUCUCUACAUUCCUAAAGAAAACAAUGUACUUUUUACUCAGUACAUUUUCCAUGACACCCAAAAUUACUUACAUUUUGUAUGCUUAACAGCACAGAAAACUGAUUCAAUUCACAC
rnacentral:lncRNA from 13 species